rnacentral:rRNA from 1 species
AACAGAGAGAGACGAAACAGUGAUGUGGAGUAAAACUUAUAAAAGCGACCUCAGUUCGGAUUGAAGGCUGAAAUUCGCCUUCAUGAAGUCGGAAUUGCUAGUAAUGGCAGGUCAGCAUACUGCCGUGAAUACGUUCCCGGGCCUUGUACACACCGCCCGUCACACCAUGAGAGUUGGAGAUACCCGAAGUCCGUAGCCUAACCGCAAGGGGGCGCGGCCGAAGGUGGGUUCGAUAAUUGGGGUGAAGUCGUAACAAGGUAUC